rnacentral:rRNA from 1 species
AUGCAUGUCUAAGUAUAAGCAAUUAUACCGUGAAACUGCGAAUGGCUCAUUAAAUCAGUUAUCGUUUAUUUGAUAAUACCUUACUACUUGGAUAACCGUGGUAAUUCUAGAGCUAAUACAUGCUGAAAAUCCCGACUUCGGAAGGGAUGUGUUUAUUAGAUAAAAAACCAAUGCCCUUCGGGGCUUUUUGGUGAUUCAUGAUAACUUUACGGAUCGCAUAGCCUUGCGCUGGCGACGGUUCAUUCAAAUUUCUGCCCUAUCAACUUUCGAUGGUAAGGUAUUGGCUUACCAUGGUUUCAACGGGUAACGGGGAAUUAGGGUUCGAUUCCGGAGAGGGAGCCUGAGAAACGGCUACCACAUCCAAGGAAGGCAGCAGGCGCGCAAAUUACCCAAUCCCGACACGGGGAGGUAGUGACAAUAA